ACGGGUAUAGACAGUGCGUUGAAAAAUGUCCGAUUAUUUUAAUUUGCAGUCGGCAUAAAUAGACGAGCGCGUGUCUGGAAAAUGUUGACGUGAGACCGAAACGUUUGCCGUGUGUCGGUACACAGAGUUUCGCUCGAACACGUGGACUCUCAACCGCGGUGAUGCCUUUUUAACUUCUACACGGGUGAAUCAACGAAAAUCUUCAAAAAUAAAACAAGUGGAGGCGUGUUUUAAUCCUCUGAAAAAAACUCCGAAACAUCCACCCGUUUUCUAAGAUUUGACAAGAGAAAUUGAGGAAUUGACUAGGGAGGGUGUCAAUUGAAAGGACAAGUUUAAGUAAGGAAUUGCGGGCCCCGGAGGACUUGAGAAAAGAUGCAAUUUCUGAGAGAGGAAUGAUAGGAUGCAAGAGGGUAGCACCGCCGUGGCGUUAGCGAUGGUGACUCCUGGUUACGAUCAGGACCCAGCCAGCGGGGUAGCCGAUUACACCACCCAUCAGGACCAGGCUCAAUUCGAAGCCGACAAACGUGCUGUUUAUAAGCAUCCACUUUUCCCAUUGCUCGCGUUACUUUUUGAAAGAUGCGAGCAAGCAACGCAAAGUUCCGACAACUCGACGUCCGAAAGUUUCAACAUGGACAUACAGGCUUUCGUCCAGCAUCAAGAAAGAGACCGAAAGCCUUUCCUGAUCAAUGACCCAGAGAUUGACGGCUUGAUGAUAAAAGCCAUACAGGUGCUGCGAAUUCAUCUGCUCGAAUUGGAGAAGGUCCAGGAACUCUGCAAGGACUUUUGCAACAGAUACAUUACGUGUCUAAAGGGCAAGAUGCAGAGCGAAAAUCUUCUGCGAAGCGACUACAGUCAUCAUGGCCACGACAUGGGUCCGUCCAGCGGCAGCAACGGCAGCAGUCCGUUACAGGUGCUGUCAUCUACAGGCAAUGAUGUUGAGUCGGGAGCUAACGGACUCAGAGUGAGCAGAGGGGAUCCGCUGUCGGAGAACGGCAGCUCAGUUCAAGCGGUUAUCCUCGGAGAAGGUGGUGGUGUCUCCGAACAACGUCCUUCCUCAACUCGAUCUUCUUCAACGGUCCAGCGCUCGGUCAGAUCCAACAGCCAAGACCAGGACGACCCUCUAUCUCCGUCCAACAUCCACGGAGGCACUCCGCUCUCUCAAAUCGGGGCUCAUUCCUGCGUAUCCGUCAGCGAUGUGUACCUUGGCCAAGACGAAUUGGAUGAGGUGGAUAAUUCGGAGAGAAUAUACUUAGAAGAAGCUGGAUACUGGGGAUUACUUCCGCUGCAAGAGCGCGAAGCUGAGUUUGAAUACGUCGAUGUUGGUGACGCGAGCGAUGAAAAGUAUUUUGAUAUUACUGUUGCAGGCUCACCAUCUCCAGCGCCAAGCGAAGAUGAUGAGGAUGGUUGUGGUACUGCCACUUCGACUCACAGUGGUAGCCACAGUAGUGCCAGGAAAGGACGACAAAAGCGAGGUGUUCUACCCAAACAAGCGACUAAUAUAAUGCGUGCCUGGCUCUUUCAGCAUUUAGUUCACCCUUACCCCACGGAGGACGAGAAGCGUCAAAUUGCAGGCGAAACCAACCUAACUCUACUUCAAGUAAACAAUUGGUUUAUAAAUGCACGACGUCGAAUUUUGCAGCCAAUGCUGGAUGGCGCAAGUGCCGAGGGAAUACCUCUCCAGGUGAGACCUGGCAAACGGAACAAAGUUUCGAAACACUCGUCGUCGUCCCAGCAGCAGCAGCAGCCGUUUCAUCAGCAGCAAGUCGGCUGGCAGUCUGAUGAUUCGGGCAGUGACUCGAUUUCCAGCGAGGGCGAGGGAGGCGGCGCUGACAGGAGUAAAGACGGCAACGACAGUGACGACGACGACGACGACCUUCACUGACCUCCGUCGAUCAGCGAAAUAUCAUCAAUCUUUGAUCGGUACCUUGAAUUCGACUUGCUCACUUCAGUAUUAAGGAAUUCGAGAGUUGAACCAAGAUGUUUUCAUUUUAUACCGUCACCACUGGAAAAAGUAGGAUCAAGAAUGCGCGUGUAAUUAUAGAGAGAAACAGGAAAGAAGAACGAACUGCUUGUUGUACAUAUACACACGUUUUAUGCAUGGCAUUCCUUAAAAUUUCGUUUUGUCUUGAUCAAUUUAAGUUUUUUUUUUUCAAGUUUUUUUCUCCCAUUUAGUCAAAUCUUGUUUUAAGGACAGUAAAAGCUUCUCAAAUAUCUUCGUUUUUGCAAUUAAUUGAGCAGCUUUAACUAUUUAUUACAGCGUGAUAUUUUCAUCUUCGAAUUCGAUUCGGUCCCGCAGUUUCAAGAUAGAAAGCUACGUAAUAAAAUAAUAGUCAUAAUUCCACGGUCCGAUUUUACCCAAAAAUUAUGGAAAAGUACCUCGUUAAGACUUUUAGAAAUGUGCGCGCGCGAUUUUUGGUAUAUUUUUUUUUUGUUUUUUGUUUUCUCCGAAGUCAUUGACGUUAGAAUCUCGGAUUCUUCGUUUUUGUGCCAUUUCAAGAGUGUGGUAACUUCCACGCGUAGUCUCCCAGUGGGCAAACAAAAGAAAAAUCAAGAAUGUCCCAGAGACGUCUAAUUUCAGUACGAAAAGUGUCCCGAGAACGUCCCAUGUCUUGAGGACAUUUUUAGGACAUUAUUACUGAUGUGCUUGAUUGUGCCGACAUAGGACGUCCUAGAAACGACCCAAGGACGUUCUUGGGAUUUUUGUGGUUUUGUGCCCACUGGGCCUUGUUUACCUCUGCAUCGUCGUGACGUAGCAAAAGUGCUGUCCCUCCAAGAUAAUAAUAAUAACGAAGAUGAUAAUGAUAAUGAUGAUAAUAUAAUGCUACUCAAAAGUAAAGUAUAUAAUGAUUAUAUUUUUAAACUCUAAGUGUCGUCUCGGCGCAUGUACCGCAUUUGAGGAGCUGGUACUUGCUGUACAUAAAAAAUAUACCGAACUGUUACACUAA